CAAACUGCAGCAGGAAUGCAGCUGGAAGUGAUUUGUAAGAGAAGAAAUGGAGUAGAACACAGGCAGCACUUGCAGCACUGCUUUCAAAAUUCCUCAGUAUUUCUAAAAGAGUUUUAAACAACAAGCUAUUCAAGAAACUUGGUGCUCAAAAUUUACUGGGCUGGAGGAAAGAUGUCUUGAUGGCGUUAAGGAAUGGGUUUGUGCCCCGAGAAGCUGUUACACCUAAGUCAGGUCUCCCAAAGGUGUAGAUGGGAUGCCUGGCUAAGCAAGCAGCAAGUCUGAACCAGCAAGGAAUGCAGCCCAAGCUUUCUGGCUUCAGGCAAUGAAGAGGCUGAUAAGAAAAUGAGGGAAUGCAAGUGCCAGAGUGCCUGGUGCUCUGGGAUAAGGAUAUUGUGAGGAAGCUGUUUCCUGCAGCUGAGGUGCCCUCAGGAGCUCCAGUCCUUGGAUGUCUGCCAAGGGGUUUCUUACUGGGGCUUCUCACAUCGAGUUCUGCCUUUUUCUGCCAACAGAAGUGACUCCAUCCCCCUCAGUCUACAGGCUGACCUCCAAAGAUGCCCAGGGCCUGGAAAUGUGCCUUAUCACGGAUUUCUCCCCCGAGCAGCUCACUCUGAGCUCUGCUGGGCAGCCCACGUCUGCUGUCGUGGGGCUGGCAGCUGCUGGGAGCAGCGAGGAGGAGUCCAGCUACCUGUCCACAUACUGGGCCAGCAGGGAUGAGCUGCGCUGUGCUGCCAGCCACGAGGGCUUUGGAGAGCUGCAGGGAGAGGACCCUGAGAGUGGUGCCAGUGCUGUCUGUGUCACAGGGCUGUCCCUACACUUCAGGACAGAUGAACACUUGAACACCCUGUCCUUGUCACAGCUGGGCCUCAAAAUCAUUUUAAUGAAAGGAAUAAUUUUUAAUGUGCUGAUGACAGUGCUUAUGUGGAAGAAAAAAAAGGACUGAGUAACCAGGUGGAGCAGUCCUGAAGUGCCAAACCCAUCUGCUUUGAGAGAGCAUCGUGAGCAGGAGGGAGCUCAGGGAUAUUCCUUGUGCAAGGACAUCCCUUGCUGCUCUUACAUGCCACACCAGCCAUUGUAUUCUGAAUUGCUUUAUUUGCAUUGCUAUAAAACCACUCAAAAUGAAACAUUUCCAGUGUUGUGCCCUCCAGAUGUCUGGGUCAUUCAGCACACGGUGCCUCUUUUGCAUGAAGCACACUUUGCUCUAAUUAUACAUUGCCAAGGUGUUACUUCCAUUAAAAUGUUGACUUCUGCCUGGAGCAGUGCUGUGUGUUAAGAACUGCAAGCUAAAUAUCAUCUGAAUGGGAUUUUUUCCUGUUUUGGUAGCUUUAGGGUUUUCAUAUCUCAGGGUAAACCCCCAGAAACCUUUUCAGGUGCAAAUGAAGCACUUUGAAAAGCAAAGGGAGACUGGCUCAGGAUGCAUUGUCCUGCCACCUUUGCUAGAUCAGAGCAAGAUAUCCCGUUUUUUCCCUAAAGGAUGAGCUGCAGGUCUCAAAUUCAGUGAAAUUGUCACUUCAAUGUCACAGAAAAAAAAGAUUAAAAAGGAUUUUUUAAAAGUCUAUCUGACCAUAACACCUUCUUAAUUUAAACCAGUUUUAAGAUUUGGCUUUGUAUUUAGUAAAAAUACAAACCACUUUUGUUCUUUUUGUUUACUUCUAACAACCUGAGAUCUCACAAGUUCUUUUUGUACCAAUUGCAUAAAAAUGUACUGAAAUAUUUACCUGUCCAUGUGUGCCCACCUUGGAACUGUGCUUGCCUGUGGCAUCUGCCUGCUGCUAAUUCAUGAACUGUACUGGCACCACGAGAUGUCUUGGCAUUUCUUUAGGCUGUUAACAAACAAUUCUUACAAAAAAUGA